rnacentral:rRNA from 1 species
AACGAACGCUGGCGGCAUGCCUAACACAUGCAAGUCGAACGCGUGGCUACGGCCACGAGUGGCGCACGGGUGAGUAACGCGUGGGAACCUGCCCGGCAGUACGGGACAACCGCGGGAAACUGCGGCUAAUACCGUAUGAGCCCUGAGGGGGAAAGAUUUAUCGCUGUCGGAGGGGCCAGCGUCGGAUUGGGUAGUUGGUGGGGUAACGGCCUACCAAGCCUGCGAUCCGUAGCUGGUCUGAGAGGAUGAUCAGCCACACUGGGACUGAGACACGGCCCAGACUCCUACGGGAGGCAGCAGUGGGGAAUAUUGGACAAUGGGGGAAACCCUGAUCCAGCAAUGCCGCGUGAGUGAUGAAGGCCUUAGGGUUGUAAAGCUCUUUCGCACGCGACGAUGAUGACGGUAGCGUGAGAAGAAGCCCCGGCUAACUCCGUGCCAGCCGCCGCAGUAAGAC